rnacentral:rRNA from 1 species
GACGAACGCUGGCGGCGUGCUUAACACAUGCAAGUCGAACGGAAAGGCCCUGCUUGCAGGGUACUCGAGUGGCGAACGGGUGAGUAACACGUGGGUGAUCUGCCCUGCACUUCGGGAUAAGCUUGGUAAACUGGGUCUAAUACCGGAUAGGAGCCAUCUUUAGUGUGGUGGUUGGAAAGUUUUUUCGGUGUAGGAUGAGCUCGCGGCCUAUCAGCUUGUUGGUGGGGUAAUGGCCUACCAAGGCGGCGACGGGUAGCCGGCCUGAGAGGGUGUACGGCCACAUUGGGUCUGAGACACGGCCCAGAUGCCUACGGUAGGGAGCAGUGGGGAAGAUUGCACAAUGGGCGCAAGCCUGAUGCAGCGACGCCGCGGGGGGGAUGAAGGCCUUCGGGUUGUAAACUCCUUUCGCUAGGGAAGAAGCUGUGUUGUGACGGUACCUAGAUAAGAAGCACCGGCUAACUACGUG